CAUUGUUAAUUAUUAAAGCUAUUUAAUUUCGGUAUUUAAGAGCAGAAGGGUAUUUUGGUCAUUUUACCAAAAUAGUAUUUGAGUAUUUCCACAAAGAAGUAUUUUAGUAUUUUCAAGAAAGUAUUUUAUUAAUAUUAGUAGGAAGAUUAUUUUGGAAAUUGAUCAUCAAAUGUAUUUUGGCAAUUUGAUGAGUAAGGGUAUUUUAGUCUUUUACACAAAAUGACUACCACUAUAAAAAGGGGAAAACCUAAAGUUUCCCAUCUUUUUCCAUCUUCUUCACUAGCCACCAUUUCUUCAAAAAGGAGAAGAUCUUGCAAUUAUCAAAGGGAAGCAAAGAGGUUGCAAGAAUAAUUAAAGCCAGUCAAACUUUUGACUGUUGAUUUUCGUGUAAUCAAGGUACAUACACUUUGACCUUGACUUUAGUAGUUUCAAAGGAUAUAUAUAUCUUAUUGAGCAUGAGGAGUAAGGAGAGGCUUAUGCCUUGAAAUUGUUUGAGUAUAUGUUGAGAACUUAGAAAGGAGAUUAGGAAUGGAACUUUUAAGUUAUUCCUAUAUUUGAAAAGCAUUUAUUGAUGUUAAUUGCUUUUGAGCAUGAUUAAAGUUAUUAAAGUUAUUCUUGAAGCUAGGGCUUGCCUGAGAAUAUUUUAUUGAGCAUGGUCUCAAUUGAGGUUAUAUAUUUUAUUGAGCAUGGUCUCAUUAGAAGUUAUAUAUAUUAUUGAGCAAGGUCUCACAAGUUAUCAAGUUAUUGAGCAAGGUCUCACAAGUUAUCAAGUUAUGGAGCAAGGUCUCACAAGUUAUCAAGUUAUUGAGCAAGGUCUCAUAAGUUAAAGUUAUUGAGCAAGGUCUCACAAAUAGUUUAAUCAUUGAGCAAGGACUCAAUUGAUUGGAUCAUGGAUCCUUAAGAAAGUAAGAAAAAGGACUCAUGGAGUCAUUAAAGUAAUAAGAUGAGCAAGGUCUCAAAGAAUUUAGAAUUGAGUUAACUAUGGUGUUUGUUGCAUUCACUUGUUAA